UACGUAGGGGGCAAGCGUUGUCCGGAAUCAUUGGGCGUAAAGAGCGUGUAGGCGGCCCGAUAAGUCCGCCGUGAAAGCCCAGGGCUCAACCCUGGGAUGCCGGUGGAUACUGUCGGGCUAGAAUCCGGAAGAGGCGAGUGGGAAUUCCUGGUGUAGCGGUGAAAUGCGCAGAUAUCAGGAGGAACACCGAUGGCGAAGGCAGCUCGCUGGGACGGUAUUGACGCUGAGACGCGAAAGCGUGGGGAGCAAACAGG
rnacentral:rRNA from 1 species